GGUUGACCUCGGAUCAGGUAGGAGUUACCCGCUGAACUUAAGCAUAUCAAUAAGCGGAGGAAAAGAAACCAACCGGGAUUGCCUCAGUAACGGCGAGUGAAGCGGCAAGAGCUCAAAUUUGAAAUCUGGCCCCCUGGGGUCCGAGUUGUAAUUUGGAGAGGAUGCUUCGGGUGCGGCCCCUG
rnacentral:rRNA from 1 species